UUUCCGUAGGUGAACCUGCGGAAGGAUCAUUAAUGAGUUGUCAUGGGGUUCGAUGCUGGCAGCCAAUUUUUGGAUGCAUGUGCUUGCCCUAACAAUCAUCUUCCAAACACCUGUGCACAUUUUUGAGGGAGUCUUGAGUUGGUUGCCGCUCUUGGGUGAUUCUCUCACAUUCCCUUAAAUCAUUAUACGCUAUUAACAAUGUUGAACGUGCUCUGUGCCGCAAGGCUAUUAAUAUAAUACAACUUUUAACAACGGAUCUCUUGGCUCUC
rnacentral:misc_RNA from 1 species